AGCGAACGCUGGCGGCAGGCCUAACACAUGCAAGUCGAACGAACCUUUCGGGGUUAGUGGCGGACGGGUGAGUAACACGUGGGAACGUGCCUUUAGGUUCGGAAUAACUCAGGGAAACUUGUGCUAAUACCGAAUGUGCCCUUCGGGGGAAAGAUUAAUGGCCUUUAGAGCGGCCCGCGUCUGGUUAGCUAGUUGGUUGAGGUAAUGGCACACCAAGGCGGCGAUCAGUAGCUGGUCGGGGAGGAUGAUCGGCCACAUUGGGACUGAGACACGGCCGAAACUCGGAGGGGAGAGAGGGGAGGGGAAUCUGGCGGAAGGGAGGAAGGUGGAGCAAGGCCGCGCGGGGGGAAAAGGAAAUGGGUUAGUAUAGAAAUUUUCUCUGCCAGGGAGCGUUAGGGAGGGUACCGGGAAAAGAAGCCCCGGCUAGCUUCGUG
rnacentral:rRNA from 1 species